rnacentral:lncRNA from 1 species
AAUGAUUGUUAUUUUGUCUGAAUGAUGAUUAUGAAGCUCACCAAAACUUCUGGGAAGAGGAAUGGAAGCAGCAUUCUAUUUUCCAAAAGUAUCUUAUACAUGCUCAAUUGGAUUUUGAUUGGAAGUUUUGGCUUGCCAAUCCAUUCAAUCAGUUCCUUAUUCAUCAAGAUAUUGGCCCAUAAGACAAUGUGGGCAAUACCAUCAUCUACCAGUAUGAAUCCUAGCUUUGUUGUACCUGCAAAUGGAAGCAUAUUUAGUUCAAAGAGCUUAUCUCUAUAACAUUGUCCAUUCAAAGUGAUUUCAUCCAAAGAUGUAGCACUCUAUACAGUCAUUGAUAUUGAUCCUUGCCCAUACAAUCAGUUUUUAUCUCUAAAAUGAUUGAUUUCUAUGAUAUUUAAUGCUGAUAUUGUGUAUUAUGUUAUCUAUAAGUCCUCCUAGAAUCUGAUUUCAGACUGAAUUUUGACAAACAUGGUGCCAAUCCAUUUUUUUAGAUAUCUUAUUUUUUAUGUUUGUAACUUAACUUUUGUCCUUCAGAAUACA